AAGCUGAUGAUGAUAAAAAACAAUUAUCUUAGCGGAUUUCAGUGAGAUUUUUUCAAUCAAUGAUCUGAGUUUGUUACACACACUGAAGCUU
rnacentral:snoRNA from 1 species